GCGGUCCCCUGCCCGCGACGUUGUGAGAAGUCCACUGAACCUUAUCAUUUAGAGGAAGGAGAAGUCGUAACAAGGUUUCCGUAGGUGAACCUGCGGAAGGAUCAUUG
rnacentral:rRNA from 1 species